AAACCAGCACCUCAAGUGGUCAGGAUGAUUAUUGGGCCUAAAGCAUCCGUAGCCUGCUUUGCCAGUUGUCGGUUAAAUCCAUACGCUUAACGUAUGGGCUGCCGGAAAUACUACAAAGCUAGGGAGUGGGAGAGGUUGACGGUACUCGGGAGGAAGUGGUAAAAUGCUUUGAUCUCUCGAUGACCACCUGUGGCGAAGGCGGUCUACCAGAACACGUCCGACGGUGAGGGAUGGAAGCUGGGGGAGCAGACCGGAUUAGAAACCCCAGUAGUCC
rnacentral:rRNA from 1 species